GAUUUGAUUCUAGCUCCGUUGAACGCUGGCGGGGGGGAUGCUUUACACAUGCAAGUCGAACGGCAGCACGGACUUCGGUCUGGUGGCGAGUGGCAACGGGUGAGUAAUGUAUCGGGACGUGCCUAGUAGCGGGGGAUAACUACGCGAAAGCGUAGCUAAUACCACGCGCCCUUCGAAAGGAAAGCGGGGACCUUCGGGCCUCGCACUAUUGGAAGCGGCCGAUAUCGGAUUGGCUAGUUGGUGGGGUAACACAGCGGCUCACCAAGGCGAUGAUCCGUAGCUGGUUUGAGAGGACGACCAGCCACACUGGGACUGAGACGGCGAACUCCUGCGGGAGGCAGCGGUAAAAUUUUGGACAAUGGGAAACCCUGAUCCAGCCAUCCCGCGUGUGCGAUGAAGGCCUUCAGGUUAAAGCACUUUUGGCAGAAAGAAACGGCGCACGGAUAAUACCCCGUGCAACUGACGGUACCUGCAGAAUAAGCACCACGGCUAACACGUGCCGGCAUCCGCGCGGUAAUACGUAGGGUGCAAGCGUUAAUCGGAAUUACUGGGCGUAAAGCGUGCGCAGGCGGUUCGGAAAGAAAGAUGUGAAAUCCAGAGCUUAACUUUGGAGACUGCAUUUUUAACUACCGAGCUAGAGUGUGUCAGAAUUCCGCGUGUAGCAGUGAAAUGCGUAGAUAUGCGGAGGAACACCGAUAGCGAAGGCAGCUUUCUGGAUAACACUGACGCUCAUGCACGAAAGCGUGGGAGCAAACAGGAUUAGAUACCCUGGUAGUCCACGCGCAAACGAUGUCAACUGGCUGUUGGGGCCUUCGGGCCUUGGUAGCGCAACUAACGCGUGAAGUUGACCGCCUGGGGUACGGUCGCAAGAUUAAAACUCAAGAAAUUGACGAGGACCCGCACAAGCGGUGGAUGAUGUGGAUUAAUUCGAUGCAACGCGAAAAACCUUACCUACCCUUGACAUGUCUGGAAUCCCGAAGAGAUUUGGGAGUGCUCGCAGAGAACCGGAACACGGGUCUGCAUGGCUGUCGUCGGCUCGUGUACGUGAGAUGUUGGGUUAGAACCGCAACGGCACAACCCUUGUCAUUAGUUGCUACGAAGGGCGCUCGUAGGACUGCCGGUGACAAACCGGAGGGGAAGGUGGGGAUGACGUCAAGUCCUCAUGGCCCUUAUGGGUAGGGCUGUACGUCAUACAAUGGUCGGGACAGAGGGUCGCCAACCCGCGAGGGGAACCAAUCCCAGAAGCCAGGUGAUCCGGAUGGAGUCUGCAACUCGACUGCGUGAGUGGAAUCUUCGACAAUCGCGGAUCAGCAUGUCGCCGGUAGAUCGUUUCCCCGGGUCUUGUACACAUUGUCCUGUGGGAGUGGGUUUUACCAGAAGUAGUUAGCCCUAGCAGUAAGGAGGGCGUGCCACCACGGUAAGUUCAUGACUGGGGUGAAGUCAAUAGCUGAGUAA
rnacentral:rRNA from 1 species